CUGUCGAGGAUCGUCUCACUUUUCAAGAUCAAUUGGACAUCGCCGCGAUAAGACAGGAGUUCGAGCAUCAUCCGGGGCACGGACAUCGCCAGGAGAAGAUCGUUCACGUACCGAUAAAAUCAUCGGUUCCAGAGAAUCAUCACAAAACGCAGAUAUCCCUUCACAUACCGUUGCAUCAGAAGAUCGUUAUUCACCAACCACGUAUCCAUAAAGAAGAGAAAAAGGUUCACCCGUUGAUCGCGUUCUUUCAGAAACUUCAUC
rnacentral:misc_RNA from 1 species